rnacentral:rRNA from 1 species
AGGACAAACGCUGGCGGCGUGCUUUAAACAUGCAAGUCGAACGGAUCGGUCCUUCGGGAUUGGUUAGUGGCAGACGGCUGAGUAACACGUAGCUGACCUGCCCGCGAGUGGGGGAUACCGCCGGGAAACCGGCGCUAAGACCGCAUACGCUCCCUUGGGUAGAGGUGAGGGAGGAAAGCCGAGAGGCGCUGGCGGAGGGGGCUGCGGCCCAUCAGGUAGUUGGUGGGGUAAGAGCUCACCAAGCCGACGACGGGUAGCUGGUCUGAGAGGAUGAUCAGCCAGACUGGGACUGGGAGACGGCCCAGACUCCUACGGGAGGCAGCAGUUAGGAAUCUUGCGCAAUGGGCGAAAGCCUGACGCAGCGACGCCGCGUGGGGGACGACGGGUUUCGGCCUGUAAACCCCUUUUCCCAGGGAAGAGCAAGGACGGUACCUGGGGAAUAAGCCCCGGCUAACUACGUGCCAGCAGCCGCGGUAAUACGUAGGGGGCAAGCGUUGUCCGGAUUUACUGGGCGUAAAGGGCGCGCAGGUGGCGUCAUCAGUCCGUCGUUAAAGCCUCGGGCUCAACUCGGGGUGGUCGGCGGGGACGGUGGUGCUUGGAGGCCGGUAGAGGAGCACGAAAUUCCCGGUGUAGUGGUGAAAUGCGUAGAGAUCGGGAGGAACACCAGUGGCGAAGGCGGUGCUCUGGGCCGGACCUGACGCUGAGGCGCGAAAGCGUGGGGAGCGAACCGGAUUAGAUACCCGGGUAGUCCACGCCCUAAACGGUGGCCACUAGGUGCGGGGGGUAUCGACCCCUCCCGUGCCGUAGCUAACGCAUUAAGUGGCCC